rnacentral:rRNA from 1 species
UACAGAGGUCCCGAGCGUUGUUCGGAUUCAUUGGGCGUAAAGAGCGUGUAGGCGGCCAGGUAGGUCGGUUGUGAAAACUGGAGGCUCAACCUUCAGAGGUCGACCGAAACCAUCUGGCUAGAGUCCGGGAGAGGAGAGUGGAAUUCCUGGUGUAGCGGUGAAAUGCGCAGAUAUCAGGAAGAACACCCGUGGCGAAAGCGGCUCUCUGGAACGGUACUGACGCUGAGACGCGAAAGCGUGGGGAGCGAACAGG